GGUCCUUUUUCUCUCUGAACAUCGGAUAUUGUCAACAUGAGCCGUAGUCCGGAGGGUGAGCUGUUAAGCUGGGAUAACAAGGAGCUCUCAGAGCAUUUGGAGCCUUGGCACCUACAUGGCAAUUUUGAAGCUUUUCUUUUUAAAACGGGGUUUCAAGACAAUCUCCCGCCAUCUCCACUUACUCCUGAGUAAGAGGAUUCUAAUGAAGCCGCCGUGGGUGAUGAGGCUCAGCCCCGCGGUCCUCUCCUGCAGGGACUGUUUCUGCUGCCUGGUUGUUAGCGGGGCAACUGCCGUCUUUAUCUUUGGGAUCUGCAGGGAAAGAUGCUCAGAGAGGGAGGCUAACAAGGAAAGUGUGAGUCCUACUAAGCAGACCGGAAAGCUUGGUCGUUUGAAAACAAUCCCCUUUCCUUGCCUUGGUUUUGGCAAUGAUAGGCUUAUCAAGGAGACUCGGGGAGGAGGAGGAGGAGAGAGGUAUGUAUCUUUUAGGGAAGAUGGUGGAAAGCAGAGAAAUGAGGGAAGCCUGAUUCUUGGCAGCAGGACAACAAGGUUGGCAAAGUUGUCUGCCCCUGACUGA
rnacentral:lncRNA from 1 species